rnacentral:rRNA from 1 species
CAUAUCAAUAAGCGGAGGAAAAGAAACUAACAAGGAUUCCCCUAGUAACUGCGAGUGAAGCGGGAAAAGCUCAAAUUUAAAAUCUGGCAGUCUUUGAUUGUCCGAGUUGUAGUCUGGAGAAGCGUUUUCCGUGCUGGACCGUGUACAAGUCUCCUGGAACGGAGCGUCAUAGAGGGUGAGAAUCCCGUCUUUGACACGGACUACCAGUGCUCUGUGAUGCGCUCUCAAAGAGUCGAGUUGUUUGGGAAUGCAGCUCAAAAUGGGUGGUAAACUCCAUCUAAAGCUAAAUAUUGGCGAGAGACCGAUAGCGAACAAGUACCGUGAGGGAAAGAUGAAAAGCACUUUGGAAAGAGAGUUAAACAGUACGUGAAAUUGCUGAAAGGGAAACGCUUGAAGUCAGUCGCGUUUGCUAGAACUCAACCAGACUUCUGCUUGGUGCAUUUUCUAGUGAACGGGCCAGCAUCACUUUUGGCUGCGGGAUAAAGGUCGCAGGAAUGUGGCACCUUCGGGUGUGUUAUAGCCUGUGAUUGUAUACCGUGGCUGGGAGUGAGGAUCUCAGCACGCCUCUUGGCGGGGCUUCGGCCACCUUCGUGCUUAGGAUGCUGGCGUAAUGGCUUUAAACGACCCGUCUUGAAACACGGACCAAGGAGUCUAACAUGCCUGCGAGUGUUUGGGUGGAAAACCCGAGCGCGUAAUGAAAGUGAAAGUUGGGACCUCUGUCGUGGAGGGCACCGACGCCCGGACCAGACCUUCUGUGACGGAUCCGCGGUAGAGCAUGUAUGUUGGGACCCGAAAGAUGGUGAACUAUGCCUGAAUAGGGUGAAGCCAGAGGAAACUCUGGUGGAGGCUCGUAGCGAUUCUGACGUGCAAAUCGAUCGUCAAAUUUGGGUAUAGGGGCGAAAGACUAAUCGAACCAUCUAGUAGCUGGUUCC